rnacentral:ncRNA from 4 species
CCCCGUAGAAUCUUUUCCCACACCCGGCCGGCGCGCCGGGUGGUGACCCGAGGAGC